rnacentral:misc_RNA from 1 species
GUGAUGUGAACUUGCCCUAUUAGCAGAUGCUUUCUUGCUCUGCUAUUUGAAGUUGUGAAAUAAUUUCUCGUGUGAUCUGCUUUUUGUCUCUUUUAUGGUUUCAUUAAUGAAGAUACAAUUAUAUCUCUAAUUAUUUAUAGGUCUAAUUUUCAUAUCUAAUAUACUGCAUGGUUCCAUUUGUUGUCUGUAUAUAUGCAUGCACGUGUAAGGUUACUGUCCUGAAUGAGAUUUAUAUGAUUUGCAGGUCACUUGACUGCA